rnacentral:rRNA from 1 species
CUUGGCGGCAAUAGCCUUCUGGACCCACCCCUUCCCUUCCCGAACAGGACCGUGAAACAGAUGAGCGCCAAUGAUAGUGAGCACCUCGCUCGCGAAAGUAGGUCACCGCCAGGCUCCCAUUUCUCAAACCCCCUCGCACCCAGUGCCAGGGGGUUUGGCCGUUUAC